rnacentral:rRNA from 1 species
UACGUAGGGCGCGAGCGUUGUUCGGAAUUACUGGGCGUAAAGCGCACGUAGGCGGAUUGUUAAGUGAGGGGUGAAAUCCCAGGGCUCAACCCUGGAACUGCCUUUCAUACUGGCGAUCUUGAGUUCGAGAGAGGUGAGUGGAAUUCCGAGUGUAGAGGUGAAAUUCGUAGAUAUUCGGAGGAACACCAGUGGCGAAGGCGGCUCACUGGCUCGAUACUGACGCUGAGGUGCGAAAGCGUGGGGAGCAAACAGG